AGCGAACGCUUGCGGCAGGCUUAACACAUGCAAGUCGAGCGGGCCCUUCGGGGUCAGCGGCGGACGGGUGAGUAACGCGUGGGAACGUGCCCUCUGGUCUGGAAUAACCCUGGGAAACUAGGGCUAAUACCGGAUACGCCCUUUUGGGGAAAGGCUUGCUGCCGGAGGAUCGGCCCGCGUCUGAUUAGUUAGUUGGUGGGGUAACGGCCUACCAAGGCGACGAUCAGUAGCUGGUCUAAGAGGAUGAUCAUCCACACUGGGACUGAGACACGGCCCAGACUCCUACGGGUGGAAGCAGUGGGGAAUAUUGGACAAUGGGCGCAAGCCUGAUCCAGCCAUGCCGCGUGAGUGAUGAAGGCCUUAGGGUUGCAAAGCUCUUUUAUCCGGGACGAUAAUGACGGUACCGGAGGAAUAAGCCCCGGCUAACUUCGUGCCAGCCGCCGCCGUAA
rnacentral:rRNA from 1 species